rnacentral:rRNA from 1 species
AGCAGCCGCGGUAAUUCCAGCUCCAAUAGCGUAUAUUAAAGUUGUUGCAGUUAAAAAGCUCGUAGUUGAAUUUCGGGGUUAGUAGAUUGGUCAUGCCUCUGGUAUGUACUGGUCUCACUGAUUCCUCCUUCCUGAUGAUCCGUUAUGCCAUUAAUUUGGUGUUGCGGGGAAUUUGGACUGUUACUUUGAAAAAAUUAGAGUGUUUAAAGCAAGCUAACGCUUGAAUACAUUAGCAUGGAAUAAUGAAAUAGGACGUUCGAUCCUAUUUUGUUGGUUUCUAGGAUUGACGUAAUGAUUAAUAGGGAUAGUUGGGGGCAUUAGUAUUCAAUUGUCAGAGGUGAAAUUCUUGGAUUUAUUGAAGACUAACUACUGCGAAAGCAUUUGCCAAGGAUGUUUUCAUUAAUCAAGAACGAAAGUUAGGGGAUCGAAGACGAUCAGAUACCGUCGUAGUCUUAACCAUAAACUAUGCCGACUAGGGAUCGGAUGAUGUUAAUUUUUUAAUGACUCA